UUAACGCGAAGAACCUUACCAGGUCUUGACAUCCUCUGAAAACCCUAGAGAUAGGGCUUCUCCUUCGGGAGCAGAGUGACAGGUGGUGCAUGGUUGUCGUCAGCUCGUGUCGUGAGAUGUUGGGUUAAGUCCCGCAACGAGCGCAACCCUUGAUCUUAGUUGCCAUCAUUAAGUUGGGCACUCUAAGGUGACUGCCGGUGACAAACCGGAGGAAGGUGGGGAUGACGUCAAAUCAUCAUGCCCCUUAUGACCUGGGCUACACACGUGCUACAAUGGACGGUACAAAGAGCUGCAAGACCGCGAGGUGGAGCUAAUCUCAUAAAACCGUUCUCAGUUCGGAUUGUAGGCUGCAACUCGCCUACAUGAAGCUGGAAUCGCUAGUAAUCGCGGAUCAGCAUGCCGCGGUGAAUACGUUCCCGGGCCUUGUACACACCGAA
rnacentral:rRNA from 1 species